rnacentral:rRNA from 1 species
CAGUCGCCGCGGGAAUACGAAGGGUGCAAGCGUUACUCGGAAUUACUGGGCGUAAAGCGUGCGUAGGUGGUGGUUUAAGUCCGUUGUGAAAGCCCUGGGCUCAACCUGGGAAUUGCAGUGGAUACUGGAUCACUAGAGUGUGGUAGAGGAUAGUGGAAUUUCCGGUGUAGCAGUGAAAUACGUAGAGAUCGGAAGGAACAUCUGUGGCGAAGGCGACUAUCUGGGCCAACACUGACACUGAGGCACGAAAGCGUGGGGAGCAAACAGGAUUAGAUACCCCUGUAGUCCCUGUCUCUUAUAC